rnacentral:rRNA from 1 species
GACAGAGGGUGCAAACGUUGUUCGGAAUUACUGGGCGUAAAGGGCGCGUAGGCGGCUUUAUAAGUCGGGGGUGAAAGCCUGUGGCUCAACCACAGAAUUGCCUUCGAUACUGUAGAGCUUGAGACCGGAAGAGGUAAGUGGAACUGCGAGUGUAGAGGUGAAAUUCGUAGAUAUUCGCAAGAACACCAGUGGCGAAGGCGGCUUACUGGUCCGGUUCUGACGCUGAGGCGCGAAAGCGUGGGGAGCAAACAGG